GAUGAACGCUGGCGGCGUGCCUAAUACAUGCAAGUCGAGCGAACAGACGAGGAGCUUGCUCCUCUGACGUUAGCGGCGGACGGGUGAGUAACACGUGGAUAACCUACCUAUAAGACUGGGAUAACUUCGGGAAACCGGAGCUAAUACCGGAUAAUAUAUUGAACCGCAUGGUUCAAUAGUGAAAGACGGUUUUGCUGUCACUUAUAGAUGGAUCCGCGCCGCAUUAGCUAGUUGGUAAGGUAACGGCUUACCAAGGCAACGAUUCGUAGCCGACCUGAGGGGGUGAUCGGCCACACUGGAACUGAGACACGGUCCAGACUCCUACGGGAGGCAGCAGUAGGGAAUCUUCCGCAAUGGGCGAAAGCCUGACGGAGCAACGCCGCGUGAGUGAUGAAGGUCUUCGGAUCGUAAAACUCUGUUAUUAGGGAAGAACAAAUGUGUAAGUAACUAUGCACGUCUUGACGGUACCUAAUCAGAAAGCCACGGCUAACUACGUG
rnacentral:rRNA from 1 species